rnacentral:rRNA from 1 species
AACGAACGCUGGCGGCAGGCCUAACACAUGCAAGUCGAACGCCCCUUCGGGGGAGUGGCAGACGGGUGAGUAACGCGUGGGAACCUUCCCUGUGGUACGGAAUAGCUCCGGGAAACUGGAAUUAAUACCGUAUACGCCCUUCGGGGGAAAGAUUUAUCGCCAUAGGAUGGGCCCGCGUCGGAUUAGCUUGUUGGUGAGGUAACGGCUCACCAAGGCUACGAUCCGUAGCUGGUCUUAGAGGAUGAUCAGCCACACUGGGACUGAGACACGGCCCAGACUCCUACGGGAGGCAGCAGUGGGGAAUAUUGGACAAUGGGCGCAAGCCUGAUCCAGCCAUGCCGCGUGAGUGACGAAGGCCUUAGGGUUGUAAAGCUCUUUUGGCGGGGACGAUAAUGACGGUACCCGCAGAAUAAGCCCCGGCUAACUUCGUGCCAGCCGCGCGGUAAU